rnacentral:rRNA from 1 species
UAUGUGAUCGUCUCUCGCAUAUCAAUAAGCGGAGGAAAAGAAACUAACAAGGAUUCCCCUAGUAACGGCGAGUGAAGCGGGAAGAGCUCAAAUUUGAAAUCAUAAAGGGUUUCCCUUUACGAAUUGUAGUUUAAAGAAGUGUUUUCUGUUGAGGUUUUGGUAAAAGUUCUUUGGAAUAGGACAUCAUAGAGGGUGAGAAUCCCGUAUUUGACCUUUACUUUCAACUUUGUGAUACACUUUCAAAGAGUCGGAUUGUUUGGGAAUGCAGUCCAAAAUGGGUGGUAAAUUUCAUCUAAAGCUAAAUAUUGGCGAGAGACCGAUAGCGAACAAGUACCGUGAGGGAAAGAUGAAAAGAACUUUGAAAAGAGAGUUAAACAGUACGUGAAAUUGUCAAAAGGGAAGCGUUUGACACCAGUGUUGUUUUUCUGAAAAUCAAUUAAAGAACUGUUUAUGCUAAGCUGUUUAGACUUUAUCAGCUAUCUGUUUAGUUUUGAGCUUUUCUUUAAUGCACUUUUCAGUUAACAAGUCAACAUCAAUUUCUUUUGCUGUAAAAAAGCUUGAGGAAGGUGGCUUGAGAUUCGUCUUAAGUGUUUAUAGCCUCUUGCCUAUGCAGUCGGAGAGAUUGAGGUCUGCAGCGUAGAUCCUUCGGGGCUAAAUGCAUUUGUGCUAAGUUAUAGCAUUUUAUAGACAACUUGUUGACUAUGAUUUGUCUUGUAGCUUACUCGCUUAUGUUAUUUUACCUACGCUUAGGAUGUUGAGUAGCGACAUACGCAC